rnacentral:tRNA from 1 species
GGUGUAGCUCAGUGGAAGAGUGUUUGCCUAGCAUGCAUGAAGCCCCAGGUUCAAUCUCUGGCACC